rnacentral:rRNA from 1 species
AAUCAACGCUGGCGGCGUGCCUCAGACAUGCAAGUCGAACGCGAAAGUUCCCUUCGGGGAGCAAGUAGAGUGGCGCACGGGUGAGUAACACGUAGGUAAUUUGCCUUCGGGUGGGGAAUAACAGUCGGAAACGACUGCUAAUACCGCAUAAUGCAGCGGCUCGACAUCGAGACAGUUGUUAAAGCGGGGGAUCCUUCGGGACCUCGCGCCUGAAGAGAAGCCUGCGGCAGAUUAGCUAGUUGGUGAGGUAAUGGCCCACCAAGGCUACGAUCUGUAACCGGCCUGAGAGGGCGGUCGGUCACACUGACACUGACAUACGGGUCAGACUCCUACGGGAGGCAGCAGUCGGGAAUUUUGGGCAAUGGGCGCAAGCCUGACCCAGCAACGCCGCGUGAAGGAUAGAAAUUUUUCGG